AGCCUAUAAACUAUAUACAACUUUCAGCAACGGAUCUCUUGGCUCUCGCAUCGAUGAAGAACGCAGCGAAAUGCGAUAAGUAAUGUGAAUUGCAGAAUUCAGUGAAUCAUCGAAUCUUUGAACGCACCUUGCGCUCCUUGGUAUUCCGAGGAGCAUGCCUGUUUGAGUGUCAUUAAAUUCUCAA
rnacentral:rRNA from 1 species